rnacentral:rRNA from 1 species
UGGCUUAGGACGAACGCUGGCGGCGUGCCUAACACAUGCAAGUCGAGCGGGAUGUUGGAAGCUUGCUUCCGGACAUCCAGCGGCGGACGGGUGAGUAACGCGUGAGCAACCUGCCUUUAACAGGGGGAUAACGCAUCGAAAGAUGUGCUAAUACCGCAUAAGACCACGGUUUCACAUGGGACAGAGGUCAAAGGAGCAAUCCGGUUAAAGAUGGGCUCGCGUCCGAUUAGCUAGUUGGUGAGAUAACAGCCCACCAAGGCAACGAUCGGUAGCCGACCUGAGAGGGUGAUCGGCCACAUUGGAACUGAGAUACGGUCCAGACUCCUACGGGAGGCAGCAGUGGGGAAUAUUGGGCAAUGGGCGAAAGCCCUGACCCAGCAACGCCGCGUGAGGGAAGAAGGGUUUCGGCUCGUAAACCUCUGUCCUGUGGGACGAAGGAAGUGACGGUACCACAGGAGGAAGCCCCGGCUAACUACGUGCCAGCAGCGGC